GAUGAAGAAAUUGAACUCAAAAGUGUAACUGGGUCGUACUGUUCAUUAGGGCCAAAACAUUCUCUCUUCGCUUUUUCGUAGAUAUUCCUUAUUACUUUUGUAUUCAUUUCUCAUGCAAAUCCUUGCAGUGUUUUCUUAAUUUCCCCUCUGAUAGUUUUCAAAUCUUCAAUCUUCCAAAGCUAUUUUUAGGCCGUAAUCUCCAAAUGAAUCUUCCUCUUCCAAAUAAGCCGAACAUAGUUACACAGAAGGCUUCAGUUAUUCCAUGGC
rnacentral:lncRNA from 1 species